UAGCCCCAAACCCCGUCUAACCCUGACUGGUGUUGUUGCUGUUCUUGCUGUUUUAGGCUAUGUUCUCCAUCAGAAGCCGCAGAGACCGAGUGAGCCCGGCAGCGCCUGUGUAGUGAGCAUGAGACUCCGGUGCGUUUCUGGAGGCUGUGAGGGCCCCCGCGGAGAGAACAUCAGCGGGUGCGUCACCCGCGGCUGGGAAUGAGGGGCAGGCUUCCGCACCCAGUGGGCCACCCACUGGGAUGGGAAAACCAGCAAGAACGUCAAGCCCAACAGUCCUGCACCGCAGUGUGCACCUGGCCACGAUGACCUCGCUCCUCUUGGCCACACAACCAGAGCACAGGCAGGCUGCGCCCAGGCCUGCCCCUCUCAGCAUCCGGCGUCAUCGCUGUCCAGACCUCUUGUCUGCUUCAAUGGGCCAGGAGACAGACCUGCGAGCCUGCUGCCCAAGCAGAUGUCCAACAGGGGAACCUAGAGCCGGGUUUCCCUUCUUGCAAAUAGGAAGGCAUUUCUCCCCUCAGAGAAAUAUCGCACCCAACAUCCUGUGCACGUGCGAUACUACGUGUCUGCCAGACGGUGUUCGUGUUUGCACAUGUGGCUCGGACUUGGAUGGGGACCAGCAGACUGCACCUGUGGAAGACGCUAAAGAAUCCCAAACCACACAUUUCGUUUUCUUUCUUUUUUUUCUUUUUGGCCCCAGUCUCUGAGAGGGAAAAUAAACCCAGAAUAAAGAGAA